rnacentral:lncRNA from 1 species
AUGGACUGAAAACUAAAAAAAAAAAUUAUUUAUGCUCAUUGGAGGGCACAGCUGCGCAGCCCCAAGCCCUGGCACCGGCGCAGCUGCGCUGGUGCUUAAUUCCCAGGAAACUCAACAGGCGCAGCUGCGUCAUUUCUGCCUUUGAUACCAGCGUAGCUGCGCCAGUACACAGACAAAAACUUGUAGACUGCAUCACUGCUUCACAGUUCAACCCAAUUAUCCCAAUUUUUCCUAAUUAAGCAGAAAUUCAACAAACCCAGAAGCUAUAAAUUUAUUAACAACAACACCAAGUGUAACGCCCUAGAAAAUUGGAUUUUUAUGACAAUUAAAUUUUUAUUUGACUAUGUGAAUUAAAUGAAUUUAAUUGAUUUCUUUGUGAGUAAGCUAUGUGAAGGUCGUUCUAUGAUCUAGAAUGUGCUAAAGUGGUUAGUAUUCUGGCUACGUGUUGGAAAUAGCUGUUUGGAAUUUCCAAGAUGAUAAUAAUUGUUUUCUGAGAAAUUUCUGUAAAAACACUAUUCAUCCGUUUCUGUUCGGGGAAUUAUUUUGAAAUUCCGGGAAACGCGUAAUGAUAGAAUACUGUGACGAGUUGGAAUAUCUGAUAAUAUUUCAUUUAUGGAAAAUGCAGUUUUCACCUGCGGACUUAAAACCUAAGGGUUGAGUAUAUUGAUUUCCGAGAAAGAAAUAAUAUGCAUAGAAGGAAUGGCGUUAGGUUUAAUUCAAGUGUUAUACAAUUGGUGAUGCUAGUUGGUAUCUAUAUAUAAUACGUUGAGUAAAUACGAGGUACAAUACGAUUAUUGUAAGUAUGGUAUAUGAAGGGAAUACGUAAAUUAUACGUAUAGAAUACGAUGUGUAUCAUAAGAUUAAUCUAUGUAUCAAUGAGUAAUUCACUUGUAUUGGAUUAUGAUUAGCCCAAUCAAUUGAAUGACUAAGCCCAAUGAGAUGAAUGGG